GACGAACGCUGGCGGCGUGCUUAACACAUGCAAGUCGAACGGAAAGGCCCUGCUUUUGUGGGGUGCUCGAGUGGCGAACGGGUGAGUAACACGUGAGUAACCUGCCCUUGACUUUGGGAUAACUUCAGGAAACUGGGGCUAAUACCGGAUAGGAGCUCCUGCUGCAUGGUGGGGGUUGGAAAGUUUCGGCGGUUGGGGAUGGACUCGCGGCUUAUCAGCUUGUUGGUGGGGUAGUGGCUUAUCAAGGCUUUGACGGGUAGCCGGCCUGAGAGGGUGACCGGCCACAUUGGGACUGAGAUAUGGCCCAGACUCCUACGGGAGGCAGCAGUGGGGAAUAUUGCACAAUGGGCGGAAGCCUGAUGCAGCAACGCCGCGUGCGGGAUGACGGCCUUCGGGUUGUAAACCGCUUUCGCCUGUGACGAAGCGUGAGUGGCGGUAAUGGGUAAAGAAGCACCGGCUAACUACGUG
rnacentral:rRNA from 1 species